CCCUACGGGAGGCAGCAGUGAGGAAUAUUGGUCAAUGGUCGGGAGACUGAACCAGCCAAGCCGCGUGAGGGAUGAAGGUACAGAGUAUCGUAAACCUCUUUUGUCAGGGAACAAAGGCGGGGACGUGUCCCCGGAUGAGUGUACCUGAAGAAAAAGCAUCGGCUAACUCCGUGCCAGCAGCCGCGGUAAUACGGAGGAUGCGAGCGUUAUCCGGAUUUAUUGGGUUUAAAGGGUGCGUAGGCGGUCCGGAAAGUCAGCGGUAAAAGCCCGGGGCUCAACCCCGGCGAGCCGUUGAAACUGUCGGG
rnacentral:rRNA from 1 species